UACGUAGGCAGCAAGCGUUGUUCGGAGUUACUGGGCGUAAAGGGUGUGUAGGCGGUUGUUUAAGUUUGGUGUGAAAUCUCCCGGCUCAACUGGGGAGGGUGCGCCGAAUACUGAAUGACUUGGAGUGCGGGAGAGGAGAGUGGAAUUCCUGGUGUAGCGGUGAAAUGCGUAGAUAUCAGGAGGAACACCGGUGGUGUAGACGGCUCUCUGGACCGUAACUGACGCUGAGACACGAAAGCGUGGGUAGCAAACAGG
rnacentral:rRNA from 1 species